AGAAUUUUCAUGUUUUUGAAUGAAUAUGCGAAUAUUGAUAUGUUCUUCCCCUGCAUGAACCGCCAGUCAACAUUUAAUUUACAUCACACAAAAGGAUAAACAUAGAAUUAUCAUGGAAUAAGUAUAUCAACAUACAUGGACUGCAAUAAAGCAUAAAAUUAGUAACAUACGAUCUAAAUUAAGAUGUAAAAAGUUUAAAUUAACCUGACAGUUCAAAAAGAAAAAUAAUCACCAUAUGUAAUAAUAAUAUGUU
rnacentral:lncRNA from 1 species